AUUGAACGCUGGCGGCAGGCUUAACACAUGCAAGUCGAGCGGGGUGAUGGUGCUUGCACUAUCACUUAGCGGCGGACGGGUGAGUAAUGCUUAGGAAUCUGCCUAUUAGUGGGGGACAACAUCUCGAAAGGGAUGCUAAUCCCGCAUACGUCCUACGGGAGAAAGCAGGGGAUCACUUGUGACCUUGCGCUAAUAGAUGAGCCUAAGUCGGAGUAGCUAGUUGGUGGGGUAAAGGCCUACCAAGGCGACGAUCUGUAGCGGGUCUGAGAGGAUGAUCCGCCACACUGGGACUGAGACACGGCCCAGACUCCUACGGGAGGCAGCAGUGGGGAAUAUUGGACAAUGGGGGGAACCCUGAUCCAGCCAUGCCGCGUGUGUGAAGAAGGCCUUACGGUUGUAAAGCACUUUAAGCGAGGAGGAGGCUCUUUUGGUUAAUACCCAGAAUGAGUGGACGUUACUCGCAGAAUAAGCACCGGCUAACUCUGUGCCAGCCGCCGCAGUAA
rnacentral:rRNA from 1 species